rnacentral:lncRNA from 1 species
GUUGUAGGAUUGGAUUGGAUUCUCAAGUGAUUUUGUAGAUUCAGCUCAGCAUAGGAUGUUGUAGGAUUGGAUUGGAUUCUCAAGUGAUUUUGUAGAUUCAGCUCAGCAUAGGAUGUUGUAGGAUUGGAUGAUCUAAGUGAUUUUGUAGAUUCAGCUCAGCAUAGGAUGUUGUAGGAUUGGAUUGGAUUCUCAAGUGAUUUUGUAGAUUCAGCUCAGCAUAGGAUGUUGUAGGAUUGGAUUGGAUUCUCAAGUGAUUUUGUAGAUUCAGCUCAGCAUAGGAUGUUGUA